rnacentral:rRNA from 1 species
UUGACAAGCACUUUGAAAAGAGGGUGAAAAGAACCUGAAACCGCUACGGGAGAAGCGAAUUGCGUUGACUUUAUGAAAAUGGCUGCCAAGGUGUUCAGCCCUAUAGCGGGUGUACUCAUUCUUGAGCAGUCUCUCGUCGUGGGUUCACGGCUACCGACUUUGGGUAGCUGUGGGCUGAGGGCUCCCCUUUAUUGGGUGAAGAGGACGUACGAGUAGAGACGCGAUUCGACCCGUCUUGAAACACGGACCAAGGAGUCUAGCGUGCCUGCGAGUCGAAGGGAUUCGAAGCCUGUAGGCGCAGUGAAAGCAAGUGUGAAAAUUUGCAAUUUGAGGCGGCAUGCAAUCGUUGAUUGCAAGUCCGACCUAGAGCAGGUAUGCUAGGACCCGAAAGAUGGUGAACUAUGCCUGAGUAGGGCGAAGCCAGAGGAAACUCUGGUGGAGGCUCGUAGCGGUGCUGACGUGCAAAUCGCUCGUCUAACUUGGGUAUAGGGGCGAAAGACUCAUCGAACCAUCUAGUAGCUGGUUUCCUCCGAAGUUUCUCUCAGGAUAGCAGGCCGAUAUAUUUGUGUGAACUAUGUGUGUUGUCGUGUUGC